AACCUGACCACCAAAUUAAGGUUUAAGUGAAAUAUUGUAUGUGAAGAAUUGAAAGCAUUAUUUGUGAUGUUGGGAUAAACACAAAUUCAUCUUAUUCUUGCCAAGGGUGGCCCUUUAAUAUCCUAAAAAUAUGUUCCCCCAUGCAGUCACUUUGAUAUUAAUUUAUUUAGGAUUUUUUCCUGAGGAUGAAAUUACUUCCAUAAAUACAAUUAGUUAAGUACUGGCCCACUAUGCCUUGUUUACAUUUUAAGAAAAAAUUGAGUCAAAUUUUAAAAUAUUUCUAUGGGGGAAAAGUUGAAUCAUGUAAUGAAUUUUGGAGGGUGAGGAAGAUCUGGGUAAUUCUCGGUUGCUUAUCUAAUUAUAAUCUUUCCAUUUGAGAGGCUAUAAGCAAUGAGCAUUCAGUUUUCACCCAUGUAAAGUCUAGCUGGUAGAGGUAUUGGGGGACAAGGGAACAGUAGCCGAGAGCUGCUCCCCACUGUCACGGGGCUGGCGUGGUUACCAAGUUCACAGACCUGUUUGUUCUGAACAGUCUUCUGCAAUCUUCAAGACAUAAUCAUUGAGAAGCGAACAGUGUUGCGGAACUCUCCAGAAAGAAACAGGACAUGCAGUUUGUUAAAAGUAAAAUCCCAGUCUCUCACAUCAGGGAAGUGGCUCAUGCUGUGUGGUCACAGGCGCAGGUUCCUUCUGCUCAUGGACUCUUCCAUCAGGAGAGAACUGUGUCUGCAUGCCCUUUCUUUCCCAGAUGCAAAUCUGAUUUCUUUCUACACUGACCACGGGCAUUUCUACCACCUAGGUUCUGACAUGAGAAGAAUGCUGUCAGUUUGAGGAUUGCGAGUGUGUAAUAGCCC